AUCCAGAUGACGAGCCCCAAAUAGAACGAAAUAUACGUUCUGGAU
rfam:Schistosoma margrebowiei strain Zambia genome assembly, scaffold: SMRZ_contig0001183